rnacentral:rRNA from 1 species
CUUCGGAUGCUGACGAGUGGCGAACGGGUGAGUAAUACAUCGGAACGUGCCCGAGAGUGGGGGAUAACGAAGCGAAAGCUUUGCUAAUACCGCAUACGAUCUCAGGAUGAAAGCAGGGGACCGCAAGGCCUUGCGCUCACGGAGCGGCCGAUGGCAGAUUAGGUAGUUGGUGGGAUAAAAGCUUACCAAGUCGACGAUCUGUAGCUGGUCUGAGAGGACGACCAGCCACACUGGGACUGAGACACGGCCCAGACUCCUACGGGAGGCAGCAGUGGGGAAUUUUGGACAAUGGGCGCAAGCCUGAUCCAGCCAUGCCGCGUGCAGGAUGAAGGCCUUCGGGUUGUAAACUGCUUUUGUACGGAACGAAAAGACUCUGGUUAAUACCUGGGGUCCAUGACGGUACCGUAAGAAUAAGCACCGGCUAACUACGUGCCAGCAGCCGCGGUAAUACGUAGGGUGCGAGCGUUAAUCGGAAUUACUGGGCGUAAAGCGUGCGCAGGCGGUUAUGUAAGACAGAUGUGAAAUCCCCGGGCUCAACCUGGGAACUGCAUUUGUGACUGCAUAGCUAGAGUACGGCAGAGGGGGAUGGAAUUCCGCGUGUAGCAGUGAAAUGCGUAGAUAUGCGGAGGAACACCGAUGGCGAAGGCAAUCCCCUGGGCCCGUACUGACGCUCAUGCACGAAAGCGUGGGGAGCAAACAGG